AGUAGAGACGGGGUUUCACCGUGUUAGCCAGGAUAGUCUUGAUUUCCUGACCUCAUGAUCUGCCUGCCUCGGCCUCCCAAAGUGCUGGGAUUACAGGCGUGUGCCACCACGCCCGGCCAUAAUGAACUUUAUUCUUUACAGGAACAGUCAGUGCCCAUCACUCCCUGUCAAAAGCCAAAUAAGCUGCUCUCUCUAGAGGAGUGGCAGUAGUCCUGUGUGGUCCAGUGAGAUCCAGAAGGUUCCAGGAGACCUUCAGUCCUGAGUCCCUUUCAGUCAUCAUCGUCUGAGUCUUGAUUCUUCUGCUGAGUUGGAUGAGCUCUCUGGCAGGUCGUCUCCCAUCUGCUGGACCCUUCCUGACUGUACAUCCCACAUGUAUUUGAUGGUCACCUUAAAUUCAGCCAUCUCAUACCCAGAAAGCAUCAGAACACCAGCCUGCUCCGGGGCCAGCAGGUGGCCCUCCUUGCACACCUCAUUGUCGGACAGCAGGGUCACCACACCUCUCUCAAAGGUGGUGGGCAGGCCCGGCUGCCUCAGCUGUGGCUUCAUGGGGUGGGGAACUGCUCCAGGGGCCCUGGGUCCAGGCUCACGGUGAAAGCUGCUUUGUUACAGCUCAGCUGAAGUCCAUUUCCGUGUAUUCUGUGAACCACUCAUUCACCUCCUCCUUCCAGUGGUUGGUGAACAGGAGAUCCGCUUCACCCCUCAACCUUUUGCUGACCUGGUGCAGGUUGUCUUUGCACUCACCCAAUGGGCUCCGACCCAAGGCCACCAUCAUCACCUUGUUUUUGCCAAAGAACAUCCGGCUGUGCUUCCAGGCAUUCCGGAUGUCCUUCAGCUUGCUGUUCCACGUGUUGGCCACAGAGAGAUGGAAAGGUACUUAUCAGUGUCCACACGUUUCCGAAGCUCUUCUAUCAGGUGUUGUUUCAAUUCCAGGCCUUUCUUGGCAGUUUUGGUUAGGGACUUCCUUGUCAUGCUUGGAUUUGGGCAU
rnacentral:lncRNA from 10 species